AUACGGAGGGGGCUAGCGUUGUUCGGAAUUACUGGGCGUAAAGCGUACGUAGGCGGACUGAUCAGUUGGGGGUGAAAUCCCAGGGCUUAACCCUGGAACUGCCUUCAAUACUGUCAGUCUUGAGAUUGGAAGAGGUGAGUGGAAUUCCUAGUGUAGAGGUGAAAUUCAUAGAUAUUAGGAGGAACACCAGUGGCGAAGGCGGCUCACUGGUCCAAUACUGACGCUGAGGUACGAAAGCGUGGGGAGCAGACAGGAUUAGAUACCCUAGUAGUCC
rnacentral:rRNA from 1 species